GGCCGAGUAGCACAGUAGGUAGUGCGCUUGACUGUUAAUCAAGAGGUCGUAGGUUCGAGUCCUGCCUCGGCCGCCA
rnacentral:tRNA from 1 species